AUUGAACGCUGGCGGCAGGCCUAACACAUGCAAGUCGAACGAGUGGCGGACGGGUGAGUAAUGUCUGGGAAACUGCCUGAUGGAGGGGGAUAACUACUGGAAACGGUAGCUAAUAACGCAUACCAUCGGAUGUGCACAAGUUGGAUUAGCUAGUAGGUGGGGUAAAGGCUCACCUAGGCGACGAUCCCUAGCUGGUCUGAGAGGAUGACCAGCCACACUGGGACUGAGACACGGCCCAGACUCCUACGGGAGGCAGCAGUGGGGAAUAUUGCACAAUGGACGAAAGCCUGAUGCAGCCAUGCCGCGUGUAUGAAGAAGGUUUUCGGGUUGUAAAGUACUUUCAGUGGGGAGGCGGUACCCGAAGAAGAAGCAACGGCUAACUCCGUGCCAGCAGCCGCGGUAAUAC
rnacentral:rRNA from 1 species